AUGGCAGUUCUGCUGAAAACAACGUUAUUCUGGGUUAGUUUCAUUCAAAUCAUGCAGGUUAGAGUCCAAAACAAGGGCAAAAGUGUUUGGAAAAGUAGAUACGUUGGAGACGUAUCAGCUUCCAGGAGCCGCGGGCCAUUGCCUGCAUCUUGGGCGGCUCACAAGCCCCAGCUCCUCACCGUGUCUUCAAGCAGUUUGCAUGCAAGGUCAAUGCAACGCUCCCCAAGCUUGUGGCAACUCAUCCUCUCAAGUGGUCCAAGUGCGCCAUCACCUUCGACUCCACAGACCGGCUCAAGUGUGCGGCUACCACUGGCGCGGUCCCCAUGCUCUGCUCCCCCGUCAUCAGCAACGUGA
rnacentral:rRNA from 1 species